UUUUUUUUACCUUCCAGAUCUUCUAUAGAAUACUUUGAUUUACCAAUUUUGUUUUAAAAUAAUUUUGAUCUUUUUCAAUUGAUAGAAACUUGUAUUCUGACCUAGAACAGGUUCUAUCUUAGGAUCCAUUUUCCCUUGAAUGUGUAUGCUGUUGUUUUGGGGUGGAGGUCAAUUUAUUUAGUAGGUGGUUCAGGUCAUCUGUAUUAGGGUUCUUCAGAGAAACAAAAUCAGUAGUGUAUAUGUGUGUGUACACAGAGAGACAAAGGCAUACAAAGAGAUUUGUUAUAAUUAUGGAAGCAAGAAGUCCCAGGACCUGCAGGGUGAGUUGGUGUGCUGGAGACCUAAAAGAACAGAUGGUAUGGUUCUAUUCCAAAGACUUGUAAACUUGGGAAGAACCAACAUUUCAGUUAAAGUCUGAAGGCAGAAAAAGACUAGUGUAUCAACUCAGGGCAGACAGGAGAACUUCCCCUUCCUUCUGGAGGGGUCAACUUUUUGGUUCUAUUCAGGCCUUCAACUGAUUAGACGAGGUCCACCUAUAUUGAGGAAGGCAGUCUGCCUCAGUCUAUAGUUCAAAUAUUAACUUCAUCCACAAAUAUGGACACCCUGUGGCCCAGUCAAGUUGACACAUAAAAUUAACCAUCAACUCUCCUGACUUCCUGUCUACUUGGUAUACCCAUUUUUUGAGAAUGGGGUUUUGAAACCUCCUCCCUAAAAGUGGAUUAAUCUAGUUGCCUUGCAGUUCUUGGGUUUGCAUUAUGUAUUUGGAACUCUAGUUUUAGGUGCCUGCACAUUGGGAAUUGUUAUAUUCUCCUGUUUUGUCCUUUAUCCUUAGGAAAUGGCCCUCUUUGUGGUGAUAUUCCUUGUUCUGAGGUUUUGUCUGAUUUUAAAAUAGUCAUUCCAUUUUGGCGAUCAUUUUUAAAAAUUUUUUUUGUCAAUGGAACUUUUAUUUAUUUAUAUGCGGUACUGAGAAUCGAACCCAGUGUCUCACACAUGCUAAGCAAGCGCUCUACCUCUGAACUACAACCCCAACUCUUG
rnacentral:lncRNA from 1 species